rnacentral:pre_miRNA from 1 species
CAUUUUCAAAUGAAAAAGUCAUAAACAUCAAGAUUGUAAAGCUCAUUGAGAUAUACAAACUUUAUUUAGAUCAUUUGGUCAUCCGACAAAGUGAAGUAACAUUGUUCAUAAAUUUUACACAUCUCUCUCAUAGCUCCAUAAAAUAUGAGAGAGAUGUGCAAAAUUUAUGAACAAUGUUAUUAUAACUUUGUCAUAUGAACAAAUAACCAAAAUAAAGUUAGUAGAUCUUGAUGAGUUGUACAAUCUUUAUGUUUAUGACUUUUUCAGGUGAGAUG